GAGUUUGAUCAUGGCUCAGGAUGAACGCUAGCGGGAGGCUUAACACAUGCAAGUCGAGGGGCAUCACGAGGUAGCAAUACUUUGGUGGCGACCGGCGCACGGGUGAGUAACGCGUAUGUAACCUACCCUGUACAGGGGGAUAGCCCGGAGAAAUUCGGAUUAAUACCCCAUAAUGAUAUUGAGAGGCAUCUUUUAAUAUUUAAAGUUUCAACGGUACGGGAUGGGCAUGCGUGACAUUAGCUAGUUGGUAGGGUAACGGCUCACCAAGGCUACGAUGGUUAGGGGGUCUGAGAGGAUGAUCCCCCACACUGGUACUGAGACACGGACCAGACUCCUACGGGAGGCAGCAGUGAGGAAUAUUGGGCAAUGGGCGCAAGCCUGACCCAGCCAUGCCGCGUGCAGGAUGACGGCGCUAUGCGUUGUAAACUGCUUUUGUUUAGGAAGAAACCCAUCUACGUGUAGGUGGUUGACGGUACUGAAUGAAUAAGCAUCGGCUAACUCCGUGCCUGCAGCCGCGGUAAUACGGAGGAUGCAAGCGUUAUCCGGAUUCAUUGGGUUUAAAGGGUGCGUAGGCGGAGUACUAAGUCAGCGAUGAAAUCCUGCAGCUUAACUGUAGAACUGUCAUUGAUACUGGUAUUCUUGAAUGCAGUUGAGGUAGGCGGAAUGUGUA
rnacentral:rRNA from 1 species